rnacentral:rRNA from 1 species
AACGGCCGCGGGACUCUCCACCGUGCAAAGGUAGCAUAAUCACUUGUCUCCUAAAUAGAGACUAGUAUGAAUGGCCAAAUGAAGAUUUACCUGUCUCUUAUAGUCAAUCUAUGAAACUGAUCUCUCAGUACAAAAGCUGAGAUAAAAACACAAGACGAAAAGACCCUGUGGAACUUUUAAACCUGCCACCACCAUCAUGGUCAAGCCGCUUUCAGUUGGGGCAACUUUGGAAUAAAACAAAACUUCCAAUCAAGGAGAACACCAGUCAACUGAAGGUUUACACACCAACAGUAUCUCCCCUACAUGACCCAGUAUUACUGACUAAAGAAACAAGCUACCCCAGGGAUAACAGCGCCAUCCCCUCCUAGAGCCCAAAUCGAAGAGCGGGGCUUACGACCUCGAUGUUGGAUCAGGGCCCCCAAACAGUGCAGCAGCUGU